rnacentral:misc_RNA from 1 species
GUCUCGAUACAGUCCUUAAUGGCACCUGCUUCCCGAGAUCGGAGAGACUUGGCUCCGAUGGAUGAGAGGCGGGAGACGAAGACAGCAGCAGCACGGGCACGGUCGGCACUGACGGUGAGGGCGACGUGGGCGAGCUGACGGGGGCUGUGGCGGACGACGGGGGCGAAUGAGGAGAGGGAUUGGAUGCAGAGGGCGGGGUAGCGGGUGGCCCGGCAGGAGGAGCGGAUGAAGCUAGAGGGCACCGGCGCUGCCGCGGAGGCGGCGGCAGCGACGGCGCAGAGGAGGAGGAGGGCGAUGAGGACGGUGGCGGUUUU